UUUAAAAGAUCAUUGCUUCAAUGUCUGACAUCUCAUUCCCAGGCAUCACCAUGGGAGUGGAUAUGGUUCUGGGCAUCCCCCAUGGACCCACAGGGACCAGGGGCUGCAAUCACUGCCACUGCUCUGCCAGCUGUCAGAGUAGGAGCCUCAAAGAACAGGAAUAUGAACGGAUCCACAAGAGGGGGAAAGGGCAAGUGUGUAGUACGCAUACUAGAAAUGCCAAGAGAAUAUCAAUAAAUAUUGAUAUAGAGUAGAACACUGAUAAAAUGGCACUGGAACACCAUCCUCUUGCUCACCCAAGUUUGCUUUCUGCAACAUAGUGCAACAGCAGGUCAAGGUUCACCAAAGCCGAGGCAGCAACCAGGGCACGUGGUUCCUGUUCAUUUUAAUUUAUUUUAUUCUCUGCAUGGUUUUCUCAGUGCUCUCUGCCAAAAAUACAAUUUAUUCACUUUCCUGGACAGAUGCCUUAAAGAUCCCUCUGUUCCAUUUUUAGAGCUGUUUCUGAGGCUUUAUUUAAAUGUGGCCACCUCACCAAGCAGUUUCUGAUUCCAUGUGGGUUUUUCCUGUGUGAGUGUUACCUCCAGUGGUAACCCAAACUGCUUUUUUACCUCUCAUUUCUCAUCACUGACAGUGCAAACUGGCAUGGGUUUUUUGCUGUAUUUUGUGUUAAGGAGCUCUGCAGAAAUAUUGUCUCCAAACAGAAAUUAAAUCAGAGUUGUAUGUACAUAUAAUAGCAAUUUAUAUCCUCAAAUCUUUAAGUAGUAGUCAGAACAUCUAGAUCCACAGGAGUGUUUUGAAAGUCCAGGCACCCUUUUCUAAAUGAUAAAUACAUUCACAUGUGUUUGGUUUUUUAAGAAAUCCUUCCAUGUAGGAUGAUGGACUGUGUACAGAGUUCUGAAUUGUGCUGGAGAAUGAGUCUGUGCCACAUGGACUUGGUUAUGUCAUCCAUUCAGGAAAGAUGCUGUCCAAUGCACCAAAUUCCCAUCUAAUAAUAGCACAAUAAAUAGGAACAGCUUGCUCAGCAGCAUCAGGUGGAGUCAAAGAUAAUUGUUUUAUGCUUCAUAAACAAUUUAGGCUUGUUGUUUACCAGUGAAAUAUUUAUUUAGACCCUACUGCACCCGGUGGUAUUAUAUCUGAGUGUAAGAUCUGAAGCAAGGCUGGUUAUGAAAAUAUUAUUUCUUCUUUAUAACUUCAGUUCAACAUGGAAUUCAAGGUAGACCUGCUUCCAGGGGGUCCACAUCCCAAUACAAACCUGCUGCAGAGGGGUUUUUUUCAGUGAGAAUAGUUACAUUCCCCAAGCAGAAAUAUACCCUUGUAGACCUAGCGGAAAAUAUUCCUUUGCACAUAGGUAAGAUAUCCACGAAUACAGCAUGUAACACUAAGGAUGAAAUCCUAAGUUACAAGGGCCAGGAGUUUACCUGAGUGGGUUUUUCACCCUUAUUGUCAAAAGGCAUGCAAAUAUUUGAGGCUGUAGCUGUGCUUUUGUACCCACAUUUCUGAUCCUCCAAAGACCGUCCAUGAAAAGGGGAGACAGGCUGGUUUUGAAAAGCCAGGUACUCACACACAGCAGCCCGUUUCCUUGCUUGUUAGCAGACAUAACUUAUUUAAACUUGGUAAUCCUUAUUUAAAGUUCAAGGCCAUAAUCUGGAGCCCCGCUCUCUGCUGGCUGCCGUGGCACCUCUCCAGACAUCUGUUCCUGGUGUGGGGAGCAUCACUCUCUGCAGCUGGUGCCCCGUGGCUUCACCAUGUCCACCCUGAUGUCCAACAAACCCAUCCCUCCAGUCAGAACUGUGCAGUGGGGAAGGCUGGAGGAGUUCAGGAGCUUCAGCACCUCUGAACAGUGGCCAGAGCUCUGUGACUUUUAUCUCUUACAGAAGUGGGAAGCACAGGCAUGAAACCCUGCAAGCUGUGAAUUGAGAAAGCUGUCACAGAAAUGAAAGUACCCCAGGAAUGGAUAAAGUGAGAAAGAUGCAUUUCUUCUUCUUCUGACACAUUUCUUCUUCUUCUUUGUGCAUCUUAUAGAAGGGGAGCAGCUCUCUUCUUGCUGAGGCAAUAAAGGAAAGAGCAGAGAUAAACAGGAGCAGGACAUAAGGAAAACCAAAGGCAGGAGCCAGCACUACAAAGCAAUUGGAGGACGGCAUAAAAGAGGCCAUAUGUGCAGGCAAUCACAGAGGAUAAGGGGGAACACCUGUUUUUCCAUCAAUUACAGCCUGUGAGCUUGCGGGGCAUAUUUAUUCUGGGGGCAUUACAUUUGCUUGGGUAAUAGCCCAUGACACAUUUCCAGUUUUACAGCAGACAAGCCCCAGGAAGGAGCUAAUCAUGUCUGUACAAAUGAAACACAAACAUGCCCUCCUGGCCAUACACGUGGUUGAACAGGGGCCCUAAUGACACCAGGAGCCACCCGGGGCCAGCAGGAAGCAGUUGGGGAACAACCACACGUUUGUGGCCACCUGGAUGGGUCUGUUUGCUCUGCAAAGCCAACCUGAGCAAAAAAAGCCCUGGGAAAAGGCAUGGAUGGGGCUGUAGGAGAGGUCGGUGCCCUCAGGGAAAUGGUAGUAAUCUAUUUGGAAAGCUAGUCUUGCUGAAGAAAAAUGGGAGAAAUUAAAUUGCCUGUGCUUCUUACCAAAGCCAGUACUGUGUCUAUAAUUUACAAAGACAAGAGAAAAGAAUCACAGAAGAGGAUGACCAACGUUGGAAAAGACCCUUAAGUCCAGCCCAGCACUGCCAGGCCCACCACUUAUCUACAUCCCUAAACUUGCUUAAAAUUGGUCUAGUUUCAUCAUAGAGCAUAAAAUUCCUCUCCUCAUCAUUCCACUGCCUAAAUGACUUAACUUUGGCUUGUAUUAUGCCAAUGAGGAGUAAAUCUAAGCAUCCUUAUACUGAAAUUAAAACAUGUUGGUUUGGCCAAUACAGCAUCAGGCUGAUAAGCGAGGCCUGGCAGAUAAGCCAGGCCUGAGCCUGGGUUUUGCUGCUCCUUGGGGCAGUAUCUCAAAAGUCUGUGCUAUACAACCUGCCCUGCUGGGUGACACUUGGCCACACAUCAUGAUUUUGAGUGUUUUUUGAUGAUUUUGGCUGCUUUUUGAUGCUUUUGGAUGCUUCCAAGGGCUGCCUGUUUACCUUUAGCUAAUAACUCAAGUGCUACUUUCCCUCAAAUUAUUACAAUCUGGCUUCAAAGGUGCAAGAGUUUGGGCUACUGAGGUACCAGCAGCAGCUGGAAAAGAUUUCUUUAAAUAUUCUUUGAGUCUAGGUUUAGCUGUGAUAAAGCAAUACUAUUUCCAAGUAAAUCACUAGGCCCCAUCCAAAACUGAUAAACACACAAAACCAGUUCUUCUGUUUGUGUGUCAUGCUUGUGAUUGGAGGCAUUUUUACCAGUGCUGUGGCAGCCAAAGCAAGCACCAUUUUUAAGGGUAGGGUGUGCAUUUUAGAAAAUGCUUCAAAGAUGCAGCAUCAAACUCAGAGGUUUUCCACAGUGCAGGGUCAUGCAUCCCUCCACCCAACUCUGACCCAUGGAAGGUUCAUCCAGGACCUCCAGGUUCCACUGUCUCCUCAACAGAGACUUUUCCUGGACCCAGAAAGGAAUGCCAAGUUUGUUUCUCUUAUAUCAUGGACACACCCAUCCCAUUAAAGGUGCCUGGCUCUUGCUGUGCUAGGCCCUGCAUCUGUUCUACUACUGAAUUCCCCAGGGGAUCUCCUAGAGGAGUUUUCAAAAACCUUCUGCAUUACAGGAAAUAUAAGCCCAAAAUAACAAAAAAACCCAAGGUGUCACCCUAAAUUAAAAGUGUAUUAAGUGCUGAUGAUGCAAAGUUGUUAAAUGCCUUCAUAUGUGUGGUGGGAUGGCAAGAACGGCCUGCCAGGCCUCCACCCUGCUGCUCUCUCCCUCAUCCUUCCCCAAAGGGUGGUGGGAAAGAAAUAAGCAACAGCAGCAGCUCCUGGGUUGAGAUAAGGACAGGGAGAUCUCUACUUGCCAAUUACUGUUGCAGGCUAAACAGAUACGACUUGGGGGAAAUUAAUUUCAUUUACCUAAUUCAAUUUAAUUGACAAUAAUUUAUUACUGCUUGAAAAUAAGGGUAGGAUGGUGAGAAGCAGAGAUAAGAACGAAAAACUGCUCUUCCCACUUUGUUGGCUGGAAUACAUGAUCCUGUGACUAAGUGUCCUGUGCCACAGCAAAUGGAGCUGCCCUGAUGGGCCCUGCUGAUGUCAGGGAGACUUCUGAAACCAAGAGGUCUUCUGAGAAGUCUCCUCACCACUCUAUUGGGACUUGGCUGUGAACCAAACUUGGGCUGGAAACAGCCAGAAGAAUGGAAUAAUUGUGGGAAAUAUUUUAUUGCUGCAGUGGGGCCCAGCACUGGAAUU